CUUUGACCUCCAGGUGUGUCACAGGCUUUGGUCGUCAUUGCUGUCGUACGGUCUCUUGCAUGCUGCAGCUGCAUUGUUACUGGCCUUAGGCAUCCACCUAGCAUGAGAAAUGCAGGGGAGGUCACUCAAACCCGAGAAAGAUGGGUAACUCAGGCCUGAUCCAGAGGAACACAGAAAUACGAGGGUUCUUAAGGAUUAUUCUCUGAAUCGUUGCUCUGCAUGGUUUUGUCCAGGGCCGGCCCAUAGGCAGUAUAGUCAAAUGCUAGGGGCGCCAUCCUUCUAUAGGAGGCCCCACUGGCGCCCCAAAUGAGUGAGGGAGAAAAGUUGAAGAUCAGAAGAAGAAAUAGAAUGAAAAUGCGUUUGAAAAUCUCUAAAUAUUAUUUAUAUAAUAUAAUUGUCAUGCUUUAUUUAGUAAUAUUACAGAAGAAGCCACGAAAACACAACUAGACUACAUCACAUAUUUAUAAAGGCUCUAUUUUCUUGCCUCCUGCUUGACGCGGCGCAUCACAACCCCGCUGCUCAUUACCUGCUCGUCUGCUUAUUGUGGGGGAGGAGAGCAGGUGACUCAUUAGAAGUGAGUGACACUGAUCACAUCGAUUACUAUCACGUUUAUAAACAACAUAACAAUGUAAAAAAAAAAAACAACAACAAAGCCCUCAGGAGCCCAGGGACGAUAAAGAAGAAGAAGAAGAAGAAGAGGAGAAAAAAUAUGAAAAAGACACCGAGGUACCGUGCUGCACUGAUCAAUGAUUUAUCUGUUGUAGUUAAGUUAGCUUGUUAUGGAUGGAUGAUAGUAACGUCUGUGUUUCCUAAUUCCUAAUCACAUAAUAUGCAAAAUACACUUAACCAUGAUUUUCUUACUCUAAUGUGUUCCUAGUCUGUCUACAAACCAUCAGUUAUUAGAAAAGUAAAUCCUCUUCUUUUUCCUGCUCCACAGGCGUUACUGCAGCUACGUCUUUGUUCUGCCCUCUGAGUCUGCCUUCUCACAGCAAAAAAUUGGCAUGGAGUGAGAAAGUCCACACAAAGAGCCACAUCCUCUUUCAGAGAGGGGGGCGGGGUCAGACACAGCUCAUUUACAUUUAAAGCUACAGACACAGAAACAGCCUGUUCUGAGCAGUCACUGGAUAUGCUAAUAUCCGCAGAUAUUAUCGGCGGGCUGAUUUAUCGGUCGAGCUCUGGAUGAUAGUGCAACUACAAGUGCUGCCUUUGUAUGCAACUGACAUAUAACCACAUAGUCUACGGGCUGAUCCGAACCAAUCACAGUAAAAUGUAAACAUGCUGAGUGAGAAAACAUUGUUUGUCUGCAUAAAUAAAAUGUUCUUGCGAUAAAUUAUGACUAUAGCGAUGUGAUUGUUGAAAAUCCUUUCAUUGGGAUAACGAUGUAACUGCACUUGCCCUAUAGCCUACCUGACCUAUGUUCUAAUUUUGUUUUAAUUUUGUUAUUUUUUUAAGGAGGAUAAUUAUGAUUCCAACGAGGUGGAGAACCUACACAAGAAAUACGACUGCAGACUUUCACUUUCAGUCUUUGAGAAGGUGUCUUUUAUGAAAAACCCAUUUUAAGAUAUACAAGUGUACAACGGAGGAUUAGGGCCCCGUUAAAAAAAAAAAAAAAAACAUUUCGAGAUUAAACUUGUUUGGUUUUUUUAACGUGGCCCUAAUCUUCUGUCGUACAAGUGUAUAAGAUUUAAACAAAUAUCUGAAACUUUUAGUUUACAGCCCUUAUUUAAGACGGAGAUAAUGCUUUGUGGUGGUGUAUCCAUUAAUUAAGCUGUAUUGGAAUAUAUAUUUGCUGCCUCAUCCGUCUUAUAUGUUUAUCACUGAUGUUUUUCCGACUGCGUUUUAAGCUGGUUUUGGCUGUAAACAUUCUAACUGAACUGACUU